GAUCUCAAAUCAGGUAAGAUUACCCGCUGAACUUAAGCAUAUUAAUAAGCGGAGGAAAAGAAACUAACCAGGAUUCCCCUAGUAACUGCGAGUGAAGCGGGAACAGCUCAAAUUUAAAAUCUCUUCGGAGAAUUGUAGUUUGUAGAGGUGCUUUCGUUGAUAGCCUGGGUAUAAGUCCCUUGGAACAGGGCAUCAUAGAGGGUGAGAAUCCCGUCUUUGAUCCAGUCACUAUCACAAUGUGAUGCACUCUCAAAGAGUCGGGUUGUUUGGGAAUGCAGCCCUAAGUGGGUGGUAUAUUUCAUCUAAAGCUAAAUAUUGGCGAGAGACCGAUAGCGAACAAGUACCGUGAGGGAAAGAUGAAAAGAACUUUGAAAAGAGAGUUAAAUAGUACGUGNAAAUUGCUAAAAGGGAAACGAUUGAAAUCAGUGUUGGCUGCAGUAAAUCAGCUAGUCAGCAAUGGCUGGUGCACUUUGCUGUAGCCAGGUCAACAUCAGUUUCGGUUGGGGUAA
rnacentral:rRNA from 1 species